rnacentral:lncRNA from 1 species
AUGUCGGAGCUCUUCAGCCAAAAGCUGACACUGAGCUGCUACGUGAGCAAGAGACACCUUGCCCAGAUGUUCGACUCAGAAAUACUCAUACAGCAAAAAUUGGUUGGAUAUGAAGAUUACAAAGUUAUUGAAGCUCAAAGACCUUCUGUAAUGCCUUUGGUUGUAAAAGUUUUCUCUUUCCUAAGGCAAGGUUCUUUUCUUUUCUUUUUUUAUUCAUCCUUCAUUUUCCAGUGUUUGUUCGGCUUCCCUCCUCAGAUCUGA